UGGUUAGACGAAGUCGCUCGAAUAUAAUAUACAGAGAGAGAUCUUCUUCCUCUUUUUCUCUCUCCCGAGCACCAAGGAGAGAUCGAGAAGAACAAGUGCUCCUCCUCCUUUCCUCGAUUUGAUUUCCCUUUCUACUACUAUGAAUAUAAACUUCAAUGACCCGACCCGACCCGACCCAAGUUACUAUCCCAUCAAUUCAAAGUGGACCUAAUAUUAGUGGGCCAUAAGGUAGGCCUAACCCAAUCCAGAGCAAUCAAUAUUUAGUUUAGGAAAGCACGAAAACAAAAAAGAUUAUACUCCUUAAGAUAGAUGAUCUUUUAUCUUCUUGGUCACAAAGGAGGAAACGAGGAGCACUUGUUCAUUAGACAAAAGAAAACAAAAAGUAGAAAAGAAGACAUAUUUCGUCUGGGUUUGUCGAGGCAGGUUUGGAAAGUCAAACGGAUUAUGAUUGGGUUGAUAUUUUGUGGUUAGUCAGUGGGUUAAAGGUUCACCUAAGGGGUUUAGAUUACAACUGUUGGAUUUUCUGUUGUCUGGGUUUUAGUGAAGCUGAUCGUCAUAGUUCUUCAUCAGUGUUGUCUUGAGUGUUUGGUGAAUCUGACUGUUGGAUCUUCUCUUAUUGAGCUGAAAUUUGGCAGAGGUGUCAUUGAUUUGUUCAUCUUGGAUUUGUACGGCGGGAUUAGUCUCCGGUUGCUGGAGUCCUAGUGAGCUGAGGUCGUCUUGUGGCUGCCUGUUUUGAAGCUUUGGUGUUGCUCUCUUGUUGUUGUUAUUGUUGUUGUUCUUGUGUUGGAGAUAACUCUUUGUAGUUAGAGUCUCUGUUUUGUUCAGGGUGUUGAACAUGGAGGACGUGGUUGUACUCAUAUCCAUUUAUAUAGCAGAUUUUUGAGUGGACUACAGUUCCGUUGGUUUUUCCUUCUCACAUCGAGGAGGUUUCCAAAGUAAAAAUUCUUUGUCUCAUUUAGUUAUUUCUUAUAUUAUAUUUUUCCAUCGUCGAAAUAUUUUUCUCACAGGUUUACACAAGGCCAGGGGAACACGAUCAUAUAUUCCGCUGUGCCAUGUUUUUUCCAACAAAGUGGUAUCAGAGCCAAAUUUUAGAGCUUUAGGUUUGAUAACUUUGGGUUAUUGUUUGCUUGUGUGAAUGAUGGAGAAUAUGGGCAUGAUGAUAAGAUUGAAUUGUGCUAAUUACUAUCAUCUAUGGAAGAGAAAGAUGGAAGAUCGGCUAUUUGUUAAAGAAUUCCAUGUUCCAGUCUUCGAAGAGAAGAAACGUGAAAAAGACGGAUGAGGAGUGGAAGUUGUUGCAUCGCCAAGUGUAUGGGUUGAUGAGGCAGUGGGUAGAUGAUAAUGUUUUGCAUCAUAUUGAAACUGAGACGGAUGCUCUUUUUUUGUGGAAGAAGCUGGAGCAGUUGUAUGCUAGGAAGACCGAAAAUAAAAAGAUGUACAUGCUCAAGAAAUUGAUUGAGCUGAGGUAUCAGGAGGAACUCCAAUAACAAAUCACUUGAAUGUGUUUCAGGGAUUGCUCAACAAGUUGUCUGAUAUGGGCAUUAAGUUUGAUGAUGAGAUUCACGGUAUGUGGCUUCUCGGUAAUUUACCUGAUUCUUAGGAGGUUUUCAAGAUGUCUCUUUGUAACUUCGCGUAGGAAAGUGUUAUUUCGAUGGAUUCAGUGAAGAACAUUAUUCUUAAUAAGGAAGCAAGAAGGCAGUUGAAUUCUAGCAGUCCGCGUUCAGAUGUCUUUAUUACUGAAUCAAGGGGGAGGAGUUCGAAUAAAGAUCCCAAGAAGGACAAGAACAAGAUCAGGAGCAAAUAUAAUAAAUUCUCUAAUAAUGAGUGUUAUUUCUGUCACAAGAAAUGGCACAUGAAAAAUGAUUGUUGGAAGUUGAAGAACAAGCAGCAAGGAAAUCAAGAAGAAAAUGUAGAUCAGGUGACUGUCACCGAAGAUCAGUUUCCAUUCUUCUUGAGGGUGAUGCCAUUAAUGUCGCAUCUCAAGACACCAGUUGGGUGAUUGAUAGUGGAGCUACUACUCAUGCAACAUCACAGCGGGAUUUGUUUUCUACCUAUACCACGUGUAACUAUGGCUUCGUGAAAAUGAGAAAUGAUGUGAUGGCUCAAGUUGCUGGCAUUGGUGAUAUUUGCUUGAAAACUAUUCUUGGGACUAGGUUGGUUCUUAAGGAGUUAAGCAUGUUCCUGAUAUUAGGAUGAAUCUGAUAUCGAAGGGAAUACUUGAUGAUAAGGGUUAUUUGAGCUUGCAUGGUGGUGGUAAAUGAAAGCUUUCUCGUGGUUAUUUUAUUAUGGCUCAAGGUAAGAAGUCUUCAUCUUUCUAUUGGAUGCAUGCUAAGGUCUCCAAAGAUUUUGUUAAUGUGGUGGAGAAUGAUAAUGCCAUGGAGUUAUGACAUAAGAGACUCGGUCACAUGAGUGAGAAGGGAAUGUCUGUGUUUUCCAAGAAUGAGGUGAUUCCAGGAAUCUCUGAUUUGCACCUGCAGAAGUGUUCGCAUUUCUUUGCGGAAAAAAACAUAGGUAUCUUUCAAGUCUUAUGUGCCUUCUUGGAAACCCACGGUAUUGGAUUUGGUACAUUCAGAUGUGUGUGGUCCAAUGAAGACAAGAUCUCUUAGCGGUGCAUCAUAUUUUGUGACUUUCAUUGAUGAUCAUUCAAAGAAGUUGUAGGUAUUUUCUAUGAGGACAAAUGAUCAGGUGCUGGAAUAUUUCAAGCAUUUUGUGGCAUUAGUUGAGAGACAAACGGGGAAGAAGACAAAUUUCGUCUGGGUUUGUCAAAGCAGGUUUUGAGGAUCAAACAUAUCAUGAUCGGGUUGAUAUUUUGUGGGAAUCUUCUUCAGUAAGUGGGUUAAAGGUUCACCGAAGGGAUUUGGAUUUCAACGGUUUAAUCUUCUGUUGUCUGGGUUUUAGUGAAGCCAGUCGUCACAGUUCUUCAGCAAUGUUGUUUUGAGUGUUUGGUAAAUAUGACGGUUGGAUUUUCUCUGGUGGAGCUGAAAUUUGGCAGAGAUGUUGUUGACUUAUUCAUAUUGGAUUCGUACGGUGAGAUUAGUCUCUGGUUGCUGGAAUCCUAGUGAGUUGAGGUCGUCUUGUGGUUGUAUGUUUUGAAGCUUUGGUGUUGCUCUCUUGUUGUUGUUGUUGUUCUUAUAUUAGAGAUAGUUCUUUGUAUCUAAAGUUUCUAUUCUAUUCAGGGUGUUUAACACGGAGGACAUAGUUUUACUCAUACCCAUUUAUAUAGUGAAUUUUGAGUGGACUACAGUUCUAUUGGUUUUUCAGGUUUUCAACAUUAAAAUUAUUUGUUUUAUUUAGUUAAUAUUUAUACUAUAUCAUGCAAUCGUAGAAGUAUUUUUUUUUCACAGAUUUUGAGGAACACAAUCAUAUAUUCUGCUGCACUGUGUUUUUCUUAACAGAAACAAAAUCAAUCAAAGAUAACACAAACAUACAGAAAUUAUUUACGGUUGUGACAGAUUCAUCCAUUUAUUCUUAUAUCCUCUAUUUUUUAACUUGAAUUAGAAUUACAUAAGAAAAUAAGAAACAACAAAGUGAAAGAUGUACUAAAUUUCAUGAAUGUUUAAUUUUCAUAUGAAUAUGUAGUCUAUUUCUUAUUUCCCCCUAAUAUGUAUAUUUGAACAAAAUCAGUCAAAUAAAUAACAAAACAUACACAAAUUAUCUAUUUCUAAAGAAAAUAUUCAUCAUCGGUUGAGAUAUAUUUAUGCAUUUGUUCUUGUAUCCUCUAUAUUUAUUUUACUUGUACUAUAAUCACUUAAGAAAAUAAAAAAGACAAUAUAAAGUGCAAGACAUACUAAAUUUCAUGAAUGUUUUUUUCAUAUGAAUAUUUGAUAUAUUUGUUAUUUCCCUUUGACGUUGUUGUUAUUAGAAAGUAGAAAAAAAAUCAAUUAAAUAGACAACAAAAGCAUACCUAAAUUAUCCAUUUCUAGAGAACAUAUUUCUUCAACGGUUGCGAUAGAAUCAUACAUUUGUUGUUGUGUAUCCUAUAUAUAUUUCUUAAAAAAAAUUGUACUUCAUCAACGGCUGCAAUACAGUCAUGUAUUUGUUAUGUAUCAAUUUAAACUCUUUUUUUUUCUCUCUAGCUACAUCAUUGAUCUAAAUCAAGUAGACAAAAAGACAACUCAUCGCUAAAUAAACAAAAAUAUGGAGAUUUGGCUCCAGUGUACACAUAUGUGAUCCUAAUGGACUAACAUUCACUUCUACAUGACUUUUACUUGUAACUAAGAUUUGAAAGUUUAACAUUAGUACAUUUGGUUUUGAAAUUAUAAUUCAAAUAUAUCUCUAUGAAUCAUUUAUGGAACGUAUCAAAUAUGAAAAUAACUUGAUCUUUCCUACUCUAUUAGCCUUACAAAGAUUCAUGUAAUAAAAGUAUAAUAUACAUUAAUAAACUAUUUUAUGUAAACUGGGUAGUUAUUUUUAGCUUAUUUAUUUAUAGUUCAUAGUAAAAUGUUUAUGUAAAAUCACCAUAUAAUAGUAACUAAAACAAUAUUUUUUAAAAAAAAUACUAGGUUCCGACCCAUCACCGCCUUCAAUGCUCAUUGGUAGAUUUCUACGAGAAAUGAAAUGCUUUAGGGUUUCAGUAUUCUGUAAAAAAAGGAUGCGGCUGAGAUUGAGAUUGAGAGGCGAAUUAGGAGCUUAUUAAUAAUUGGACCAUAAGCAAUAUGAAACUAUUAAUGAAUGUGGUUUUCUUGGUCCAUUAAGCCUACCGUCUUAUUUUUAGAAAGAGGAAGCGUUAUUUUUUACUCAUAUUUUUACUUUUAGCUUUCACCUUUUAAAUUUUUAUUUCUAAAGUGAACUACAAGUAAAUUAUUAUUCUGAUAUGCUGAUCAUCAGGUUGAGCAGUACAAAAUGAUUAAACCGACUUUUAUUGAAGAAUUAGUUGGUUUUAUCAAAAGGCUCAACAAAAUUAGAAGGGUUAAAAUAUAUUUCAAUAGACAAUUAACUUGUAUAGCAUAUAUAUAUAUAUAUAACUAAUUUAAAAAUCUAAUUAUAUAAAAAUAUGUUGCCUUUCUCCUGGUGAUGCCACAUCAUCAAUUGAUUUACUCUCGAAAUGACACGUGUCCGUUCUAAACGCAUCGUAUCACUUAAAAUUUUGAAACCGGUUGGGUUUCUACAUUCUGCUCUUCGUGUGAAACCUUAUAAAGCCCAUACCAAUAUCUAUUGCAAAACGAUACGUUUUGAUUUUCACCGUAAGAACAAAACAAGAUAUUUCCAAAAAGCUGCGUCUCUUGCAUUUUUUUUUGUUUCAGCGCGCUCUCUUCUCCGCCGUAGCAGUUCUAGGGUUUUGCUCUGUUUGUUCAUCUCCUUCCUAUCGAUUCGAGCUCAAUCGGUUACGGAUUCAAUCAUCCUAAAUACCUUCUUAAAUCCAUCGCACACAAUCUAUCUUCAAUGACGCAUUUGCUCUUCAGGGGCGGUGGAUGUUCGAGUAUAAAAGGUAAGCAUCCCUACGCUCUGAGUCAUCCUAUCAAUCAUUUAGAACAUAGAAAUCUACUUAUUUACUGAAAAAUGGCUAACUCUUGAGUUUUCUUUUCCGAUUUGAAGUCCGGCAGAAGUUCUUCCACGGUUGAGGUGAGACUACUGCGUUUCUGGGAGGCGAGGAAUAUCAGACGCGCUGAUGAGCUCAUGUCCGUCGAUAUGCUUUUGGUUGAUACAAAUGUGAGUUUUGUUUUAGGAUUUCUUCGGUAUUCUUGAAGUUUAUUUUCACGUUUUAUAAGAAUUUGCAUUGACCAUUAAUGAUCCGUUUAAUGAAUAUGAAAAUUUCCAUAAACGUUUCAGGCGACUCUUGUGCCAGCCACCAUUGCUGCUAGCCGUGUUCCAAUUCCAAACUUCAGGCUGUUCGACUCCUCUUUGUUGAUCCAGUUCAGUGAUGCAACCUCCUUGAACGUGUUAACUGAACCGAACCCAGUUCUCCACACCCUGAAGAAUGCUUCCCAUUCCGUAGUCAAAGCAAGAUGCUUGCUCUAGCAAACGCUAGCAGUCAGCUCCCGGGUAAUCCUCUUACGUUUGUCAUCGUUCUAACCGGAAACUAAAUUAAAUUUUCAUUCAUUCGUAGAUAUCAUUGGGGAGAUCACGGUUGUUAAGAGCUCUGUCAGUGACCUUCCGGCAGACAAGAAUCACUUGAUGGCGACCACCAAACUGGGGAAGUAAGUAGUUCAUAAUUUUCAGAGCCUCUAAAAAAAACAUAUCUCAUGCAUCAUGUUUACUACAAAUACUGUAAUGAUCACAUACAUAUAUAUUAUGUAUUAGCAGCGAUGCGUGUGUGACUUUGAGUUUGUUCGACGCCCAUGCUGUUUCGUUUCACAACAAGCUGGAAGCCAUACGAGGUGAACCAAGAGUUGUUGUUGCGACAAGCUUAAAUCCUAAAAUAGUUGGAGGUAUUUAGUUAUUAUUUAAAUUUAGAGAAUCUUUAUAUUAUUAUAUUUUUCCCUGUUCUUUUCCGUAUGUGUCCACCACCAUGUUACAGACUAACCUUAGCAUUUGAUUAUUGGUUUCUAGAUAUCGAGUGGAGUUGGGCAUAGCUGAUGAUACUGCUGAGAGCGUUUUCGUUUGUUUUGAUGGGGUGAUGACGAAACUUCACAACCUCAAAGCAGAUGAGGCUGGUCAUAUGUUGGUACGUUACGUUCUAGCUCUCAUAAUCGUCUCCCCCGUGUGAGUUCUAACCUGUGCAAUCUUAAUCUAACAACUAUGCUGGAGAAGGUGUUAACCCUGAGAAUACUCAGAUCCCCCUCCCCCUUUUUAAUUUUGGACAUGGGAGGAAAGACAUUCACCUUCCAAGUCAGACUUACUGCAUACAACUUCACAGCAAGUCAUCAGACUUACACCAUCACACGGAUUCUUAACGGACGUGAACGUACGUGCACCCCUCCCUGAAUUCGUUGAUAAUGUGAGUGUUGUGAUUGUUUCGUUAUUCCAUUCAUGUACCAAUUUAAUAUAUAUUAAUGGACAUGACCAGGGUGACGACACACCAGGUGACGGCACCGUUCAUGCUAAGGUUGAAACUGGGGGUAGCGUCAGCAGGCAUGACCAGAUGCUGGAGCAGCCCCUAAUGGUGGAGAUCCACUGAAGCCUUCAGCCAGAGCAAUUUCAAAAAUAUGGUGAAGAAGCCCGUCUUGCUUAAUUCUUUAUCAUCUGAGAUACUUUUACUCCAUAAUGCUAUGGCAUCAAUGUUGUUUUUUUUAUUAAGGGUGUGGUGUCUGCUUCUGGUUUUUUUAACUUUCUGAAUAAUCUGCAUUUUCUGAAAUUUCUAUAAAAUCAUGUUUUGGUUUAAAUAUUUGUACUAUUGGUAUAAAUUUAUGCAAACCGUAAUGUUUUCCCCACAGUUAUUUUCAUAUUAUAAUACAUUGUUUGGUCCGUCUCAAUCAUUAUUUAGGCCCACAACUACAUUUAGGUAAAUCGUAAGUGAUUUUUUUUUUUUGAACACAUCGUAAGUGAUUUUAAAAGCCAUGAAAAUGGGUCGCAAGGUCUUAGUGCUGAAAAGAAGCUAAUUAUGUAAAUAUUAUCCACGCGAGCUUUUGAUGCAACACCCUACCAAUUCAAACAAUUCGUGUAAAUAAAUUAGUGUUUUUACAAUUACUAGAUCACCAACAAUGCUCAGUAAAAAAUCUGGGAUUUCCAACUUUCACAUUUAUCUCACUAUCUUAUUUUAAACAGUUAUUAAGUAGAUAUUUGCCACAAUAGAUUUUACUACAUUAACCUAACAAUGUAUAGAAUUCGUUAAAAAACCGUUUUUAUAAUUUAAAACAAUUAUGAACUUGCACUACGUGGUUUGGAUAUUAUAUACCACAAUUUUUUAAAGAAAAAGUUUAGUAACCUAUUGUGUUAUUUAAAGAAAAAAAGACGUAAGUUUUGAAAAAAAAAACAAUUUGCUGAAGACGUGGUAUUUUAAUAGGACAAUAAUAAAUUAAUAAGUAUACUGGGUCAACAAAAGAUAGCAAUCCUUCUGCAAGCAUAGUUGCAAUUUUUUUUAAAAAAAAAAACAAAGGAACAUAAUCAUUCACAGACACAAAACUUCGUUAUAUAAAUUGAAUAGAUGUACACUUAUCUAAUUAUUUUAAAAUAUAAAAAGCAUUACUGACCACGACAAUAUAUAACCACCAAUCAGCUAGCCAUUAUAUAUAACAAAGUCAGUCUGGUUAAAAAAGGACAAAAAAGUCAUAAUCAAUCUUGAAAACAAAAAAAGUACGGGCAUUGAGGAUGAACUGGAUUUUUAACAAAAAUAAAUGGGAGUUAUUUGGAUGCUAAAUCUCCUUUUGUCACUAAAUACUUUAAUAGAUAUAAGCACAUUAACAAUUUUACCAUACCGAUUUUUUUUUUCAAAAAGGAAUAUUAACGGCAAUGAUAGUAGGGUAGAAAAAACUCCAACCCCGUCACUUGAGUUUUAACUAUAUUCUGAUUGGGCCUCUUAAUUGAUUUGCUACAUUAUUCACUUAUCUGCGCAAUCUCAACCAAACAGAUUGGUUAUGCAAUGGUACAAUGAUGGUGGUAACACGAUUGUUGAGGUAGAGAUUAUGACCGAAAAAGAUAUUGGGGAACGGGUUCUAAUCCCUAGGAUUCAGCUCACCUCCAUAGAUAUGUAUCCUUUCAGUAUCCAGAGAUCAGUGGAUGGUUUGUACGACUCUGCAGUGGCGAACCUAGGUAAACCAAGAAGGUAGCAAUGCCACCACAAAAAUCUCAAAAUUUGCAUAUUAUACCUCAAACUUUAGUUACUUUAUCCUCUUAAAUAUCAUGUUUUAACCAUAUAUUUAAGUUUAUAUGUGUUUUGCCCCAUAAAAAAAGAUUCUAUUCGCCACUAUGACUCUGCAAUCUUAAUUUAUGGUGUUAUAUUGUUAUGAUUAGGUAAUAUGGAAGAAGAGAGAAAAGUAUCUAGAUAUUCUGAAUUGGGAAACAAACAAGGAGAGGCUAGACCGUUAUUGGAAUAACAACCAGAAAGCACUACGAAAGUUGAACGUUGUCUUCACGAGUCUGUACUAGAGAAACAUGCGGAAGCUUAAACCACCAAUAAACUGUCAUGUCAAUGAUAUCAAAAAACUUUGCUUCUACUUCAAGCAAGUCAAGAAAUUCAUUACUAUCUUAUCCUAUGAGACGACGUUACCACAACGAAUUCAAAAUGCAAUAACACAUGCAAAUGCUUCACACAUUCUACAUCCUGUGUUGGACACAUAUGCCAUCAAAUUUUUAGAAAACUCUUACAUGGAUUGAUGCUAUAUUUGUUGUUUCAGAACCCAAAUGAUCGCCCAAUAACACUCAUAAACUGGUGUAAACAUGACUAACCAGUAAAAAUUUUCACACUACCAAACAAAUGAACAUACAAAAAUUCAUUGAAAAAAUAUAUAUUUUAAUUAUUAGCCAUUA